CUGUCUGGCCUGGUUCAAGAGUUAUUGUUCUGGUCGUUUACAAUCAGUGAGGGUGGAGGGGCUUCUGUCAGA